rnacentral:snoRNA from 1 species
CCACUAGAUGAUGAAGACAUCAUGUCAUAUGUUCUUGCCGGCUUGGAUGAAGAUUUCGAGCAUGUCGUCUCCUCCCUCGUUGGUAGAGUAGAACCGGUUUCGUUUUCUGAGUUAUACUCCCAAUUGCUCAACUUUGAAU